GGGGCAGUGCGGCGGUGCUAUACAUGCAGUCGUACGCAGUUUCUUCACCGAGUGCUUGCACUCACCGAAGAAACUGAGUGGCGAACGGGUGAGUAACACGUGGGUAACCUGCCCAAAAGAGGGGGAUAACACUUGGAAACAGGUGCUAAUACCGCAUAACAACAAAAACCGCCUGGUUUUUGUUUAAAAGAUGGUUUCGGCUAUCACUUUUGGAUGGACCCGCGGCGUAUUAGCUAGUUGGUAAGGUAAUGGCUUACCAAGGCAGUGAUACGUAGCCGAACUGAGAGGUUGAUCGGCCACAUUGGGACUGAGACACGGCCCAAACUCCUACGGGAGGCAGCAGUAGGGAAUCUUCCACAAUGGACGCAAGUCUGAUGGAGCAACGCCGCGUGAGUGAAGAAGGUUUUCGGAUCGUAAAACUCUGUUGUUAGAGAAGAACGUGUGUGAGAGUAACUGUUCAUGCAGUGACGGUAUCUAACCAGAAAGCCACGGCUAACUACGUGCCAGCAGCCGCGGUAAUACGUAGGUGGCAAGCGUUGUCCGGAUUUAUUGGGCGUAAAGGGAACGCAGGCGGUCUUUUAAGUCUGAUGUGAAAGCCUUCGGCUUAACCGAAGUCGUGCAUUGGAAACUGGGAGACUUGAGUGCAGAAGAGGAGAGUGGAACUCCAUGUGUAGCGGUGAAAUGCGUAGAUAUAUGGAAGAACACCAGUGGCGAAAGCGGCUCUCUGGUCUGUAACUGACGCUGAGGUUCGAAAGCGUGGGUAGCAAACAGGAUUAGAUACCCUGGUAGUCCACGCUGUAAACGAUGAAUGCUAAGUGUUGGGAGGGUUUCCGCCCUUCCUGGCUGCCGCUUCCGCCUUUGGGAUAGGGGGGGGG
rnacentral:rRNA from 2 species